UACACACAGGGCAUUUGCAAAAGGGCAGAACAAGUCUCAGCCUUGAGCUGAAUGCAUAGAAAUUAACCCAGUGGCUUUAGGUAAGAGUGGACGCAAACCUUUCCCUGGUGUAAUGAGCCCCCUUUGAUCCAACAGGCCUGAGGAUUAGCUUGGUGUCCAUUCAGGCCCUCUCUCAGAAAUCAGACACAGCGGUAAGUCUGGCAAACUCUCCAGAGCAAUGCCACUGGGGUGACAGACCCUGGAAAGCUUGUUCUUAGUGGCGAGGUAUGUGAAGAGACAGAGUUGACUCACAGCCCCACUCUUGCUCCCAUUCCACACUGGCCAAGCGGGUUGAGGUUCUGGCCAUAGCUUGCACCAUAGGAAUGGUAUUGCAAUUUACACUGCAGGAAGUGGAGAAUAACUGAUGUGGAAGGGUUCAGCACUGAAGAGGCCCCAGAAUGCUGAGAACAGCUGAUGAUGGAUAUUGAAGAACACCCCUGCCUGGUAGCAGCUGGCCGGGAUAGAUGGGAAGGAGUAACGCUGAUGGUGCCAUUCAUUGUAUCACAGUGGGCUAGGAAGAGAUAAUAGAUGAGAGAAAUUCUCCCUGCAGUAUUUUCCUCCCUUUAGCAAGUUCCAAAGGAGAGAACCUCGUCGGGUAUCACUUCUAUUCUGCAAAUGAAGCCAUUUUCUGCCAGGCACUGUUUCACAGCCCCUCUGUUGGUGGAAAACUGUAUACCCAGUGCAGCUAGGCUCAUGCUGAAGAGCUCCCCUGCACCAGCCUCUCAGAUGGUCCUUCCGCCCCCCAGCAUUAGAGAAACACUCAACUGCGACAAGAUCAUUCCCCAAUCUCCCACUGGAAGGCCUUGCUGGAGAAAUGAUUACACAACACACCUGGAAAGGCCCCACCCCCAGCUGCUCUCAGAGAUGCAGCAGCUGGGAGAGUUUAAUGGGGAUACGCACUGUCCACAGAACUUCCAUCUCCUCUGUUCUCUUCGAGGAGACAUACAAAUGCACACUCAAUGGUCAAUCAGAUCCUGCUGUAUUGAGACGCCCCAGCCAGAACAAUGAAGCCAUACUGGGUGAGUGACUUUCUCAGACCAGCAUCUGGGAGAUGUCCAAGGAAUGCAAUGGGAAUAUGACUCCGCUGGCACACUGCCAGGGACUUAGGAUCACAUGCCUACGUAAUGCUUAAUAUGUCAUGCACUUCUUCUAGGCAUCUGUUGCCAAGCAAGGCCUUCAUCCAGGGGCCUAGAAUGUGUGGAGGAAAGAGAACAUAUUGACUUGGGGUGUGGACAGUGGAGAGGCUUCCCAGAAGUCUGAGUUAGCUGGUUUGGCUCAUGCUGCCCUUCAUACCACACCAGGUACCAAAGGCUGGGCUCAUGGUUGGGCUGCUAGUCCCUUGUACUACCGCGGAGAGAGCCAAAUGUUGCUGGGGGCUGACCUUUGCCAUUAUUCUAUUUCCUUACAGUUCAGUUCAUGCGUGGGAGGGAUUUUGGGGGGAGGAAUUUUUUGGCUCUGCCCCUUGUUCUCGUCAUAAACUGCUGGCUGCUUUGCCAAAACUGGCAUCCCCAGUACAGUUCUCACAUGCCCGCAGCAAAGCUGCAGACCCAGCUCUGACUGCUGAGCAUAUAAAGGACCAUUGGAAAGGAAUAGUCAUCAUUCUGGAAUGUCGGCCUUUCACUCCCCUUUCCUUUUCCCCCAAGUAUCAUUCUAGAGUGACACUUGCAGUACACAGGGAAGUGACAGGGCUGUAGAACAAGCUGGAGCUGGGCUAUUGGGGGCAGGUGUUGUUGUUUUUUUUCCCACACAACUUUGUCAAAUACACCUCACUGUAAACCUGCAGCAACCUCCUCCGGCUGUGGGUCCCUGGCUGUACAGCUCUGCUAACACACUUCAGUUCUGCUGUACCUCUGCUGUUCCCAUUGAGUUCCCAACAGCCCUGACAAUUCACCUCUACCCUGACCAGCAGCAGCUCUUGUUAUUCUAGUCCUAGCCUCCCCACAGAGCUCUGCUAGCGCACUUCAGUCCUGACCCACAGCUCCACAAAACCCUCCUGCCUCUGCUAUCCCAGUCCUAAAUUACUCUCACAGCUUUGCAGCAUGUCCCUCAAUUCACUCCUGGGCUCCCUCACAGCUCUGUCAAUUCACACCUAUCCUGGCCCACAGAAUUCUCUGCCAGUUCAAAUCCUGGGCCUGGCACUGUUCUACCAAUGCACCUUAGUCUUGCUAUUCUAGUUCUGAGUCUUUCCUGAAGGGGAGGCUUCUAGUCACUCCGACCAUACCGCACUGAAUGAUGGUUGGAGCUGUGCCCCAGUGUUGGGCUAAUGUUAGUGAAUACGGCACUCGCACCGACCUGGCUCCUCUGAAAUACAGAGAGAAAAUAAAGACUGAGGAAGCCAUGCUGAGGCAGGAACAAGUAUGACCAUUUUGAUAUAUUUUAAGUGAGGAGAUUGUGUUUCAGAUCCUGGCGAGCUUCUCUAGCUCUUUGCAAACUGGGGACAACAGCUUCCUGGGCAUUGUGGGGAAGAACUUAAACCCUGUGUGAUAUUUAUUUUGGAUCACUGCUACGACAUUCAUAUGUGAAGUCAGAAGGAAGCUGGGCUGAUGGCAGAAACGUUUGUGAUUAGUAUUGGGAUGUCUAGCAGCCUCAAAAUGAUAAAGAACUAGUCACUUUUCUUUGCACCGAUUGUGACGUUGCACUCCAUACUCUUUCUGAAAAUAUGCUUAUCAUAUGCAUAUGAUAUAACUGAGAUAUACUUUAUGCUAGAUGGGUCUUGUAA